rnacentral:rRNA from 1 species
GAUGAACGCUGACAGAAUGCUUAACACAUGCAAGUCAACUUGAACUUCGGUUUGGGUGGCGGACGGGUGAGUAACGCGUAAAGAACUUGCCUCACAGCUAGGGACAACAUUUGGAAACGAAUGCUAAUACCUGAUAUUAUGAUUAUAUGGCAUCGUAUAAUUAUGAAAGCUAUAUGCGCUGUGAGAGAGCUUUGCGUCCCAUUAGCUAGUUGGAGAGGUAACAGCUCACCAAGGCGAUGAUGGGUAGCCGGCCUGAGAGGGUGAUCGGCCACAAGGGGACUGAGACACGGCCCUUACUCCUACGGGAGGCAGCAGUGGGAAUAUUGGACAAUGGACCGAGAGUCUGAUCCAGCAAUUCUGUGUGCACGAUGAAGUUUCUCGGAAUGUAAAGUGCUUUCAGUUGGGAAGAAAAAAAUGACGGUACCAACAGAAGAAGUGACGGCUAAAUACGUG